AGAAGCCACCCUCUUUCCGACAGCAGAACUAAAAAGAAACGAAGAGUCCUAUUCUGCUGCAAGGAAUGUUUGGCUUCAUCGUUUUGCGAUCACACGGAGCAGAGAACCCGAGAGGAAGAGCACAAAGGAGGAGGAACCUCUCCCGCGUGUGAGAACGAUACUUUCCUGAGAGCGCGCCUCCAGGACCCCUAAAUCCGCACACACUCAGGAGAUGCACAGCUCGGUCCCUGGCUUCCUUCCCCUCCCACAGUUCGGCCAGGAAUCGAGUCACAGGAAUCACGCAGAGGUGGUGGGUACUGUUGCCCAAGGCCCCGAGGAGAGACAGCAGAACUGCCUCAGAAGCAGGGGCAGAUUGUCGGGCUCCCAGGUGCCUGUGCUGGUCCCUUGCGGUUAUUCUGAGUUUCCCAGGACUAGUGGAAGAACUGAGGGCAGAGAUGCUGAUCAUCUCUGUCCUGGCCCCACCCCAAGGCUGAUAAUCCGGCGGCCCUCACCUCCCUCUUCCUGCCAUUUCCCAGAGCCAUGGAACUCCACAUGUCCUGCUACAAACAGCUGUCACUGCUCACUGGGGGAGCUGAGCCCAGAAAAGCGGCCCUUCCACAUCAGCUCACCUGGGAGAGGUGUUAGCAUCAUCCAGGGAUCAGGAGCCCUAGUAACGGGGAGUGCACAAACCCUGUUUCGUCUGAAUGCCCAAUGAGCAAGACACAUGGGUCACAAGGGACCUCGGAGGGAGAAGCCUCCUGCUGGGUCUGGGGGGGCUCCCUUCUGUAAUCCCAGCACCCAGGAGGCUGAGGCAGAUGGACCUCUUUGAGUAGGAAAUAUAUCUUAGAUCCUAAGGUUAUGAAUGGGGGACUCAGAAGUUAACUGUAUCACACUCAUAUGGCAGGUGCUAUGUGUCCUCGAACUCAAUUCUUUAAUCCAGGCCCAAAUAGAACAAAGAGGCAAAUAUUGCUGUAACCCAGAAAGAUCACCACUGUGCCCCUCUGCUGUUCCAGCUCCAUAGUCUGUGCCAGGCGUGCCCGGGGCUCUCUUAAAGCUGCUCCCUCAUCACUCCACGUCACCACAGUCUUAAACACCCAGAUCCUUCAUCUCCCAGCCCCUGUAUCCCCUUGCAGUACCCCAACUUCCAGAAUAAAUUCUGCUAUGGUCACUUAUUUUAUUUGACUAUUAUUUUUUGAGGGAGGGGAGUUGAGGUAAAGUCUUGCUUUGUGUCCAGGCUGACCUUGAGCUCACUAUGUAGCCAAG
ensembl:lncRNA